ensembl:lncRNA
UGGUUCUCAGACAGCCAUGCGCUGGAGAACAAGAUGCCUGAUGAAGUCAUUUGUGAAACCUCCAUGCACUGGGUGAGACAUAGUGCUUCAAGGAAGAUAUUUUCUAAGACGGUAUGGAAUGAGCAAAAGACACACCAGAAGAGGGCAUCGGAUCCCAUCACAGAUGAUUGUGAGCCACCAUGUGGUUGCUGGGAAUUGAACUCCAGGACCUCUGGAAGACCAGUCAGUGUUCUUAACCGCUGAGCCAUCUCUCCAGCCCUGGGAGUCUUACUUCUAUUUACCACAGACAGAAAAGGUUUUGUUCUGUUGUCUGCCUUCCUUCUGUGACUGAAGAUCUUGUGCAUCUAAACCCACCAAAACUCAUCCCAUUCUUACCACCAGUAAGGAACUUAGCCAUGAGCUUUCAAGCCACCUAAUUCUGGUCCUCCAGACAGAAAGAGAACCACUCGGAAGCUUCCAGGAAAUGUUCUUUUUCUCAAAUGAAGGCACCAUGCAGGAAGAGCUACAGUGGGCAAGAGAGCUCCAUGGAGAGGCCCACUGCCUUACUCUGCUGCAGUGGGUGUGCUCUGGUGAGGUGGGGCCCCAAAGACCUCAUCCCAGGACUGCUUCUUGCUGCUGCUGUCUGCACUGCCACACUCCUCAUUUAUUUGGCUUGGUGUGAGUGGACACCAGGAGACCCUCACUGCCUAUAGCAUGGUGUGAUUACUUCCUUGGCUAGCCUAGACCUCACUGUGUAGUGAGGCUGGCCUCAAACUCACAGACAUCUGCCUGCUUCUGCCUGACUCCUUGUCCUGUUUCUAAAUAAGAAGACUUCAUUUAAAUUGACAAGCCAGUGACAUACAUCGAAUGGACCACCUGUCCAUCCUGACCUUUUCUUCUCAACAAAGACUUUACUUUUAGUUAAGGAUUCUGAGGGAAGUUAAAAGAGAGAAAAAACAAUCCACAGAAUAUAAAUACAAAAGUAAAGAGAAGAAAAUCUGUACAGAACAACUAUGAAAACAAGAGAAAACAGUUAAUAAAAGUGCAGUGGCAAAGCCUCUCUAUCCGUUCUUAU